rnacentral:rRNA from 1 species
UAGAGUUUGAUCCUGGCUCAGAUUGAACGCUGGCGGCAUGCCUUACACAUGCAAGUCGAACGGCAGCACGGGAGCAAUCCUGGUGGCGAGUGGCGAACGGGUGAGUAAUAUAUCGGAACGUGCCCAGUCGUGGGGGAUAACGCAGCGAAAGCUGUGCUAAUACCGCAUACGAUCUCUGGAUGAAAGCGGGGGACCUGCAAGGGCCUCGCGCGAUUGGAGCGGCCGAUAUCAGAUUAGCUAGUUGGUGGGGUAAAAGCUCACCAAGGCGACGAUCUGUAGCUGGUCUGAGAGGACGACCAGCCACACUGGAACUGAGACACGGUCCAGACUCCUACGGGAGGCAGCAGUGGGGAAUUUUGGACAAUGGGCGCAAGCCUGAUCCAGCAAUGCCGCGUGCAGGAUGAAGGCCUUCGGGUUGUAAACUGCUUUUGUACGGAACGAAAAGGCUCUUUUUAAUAAAGAGGGCUCAUGACGGUACCGUAAGAAUAAGCACCGGCUAACUACGUGCCAGCAGCCGCGGUAAUACGUAGGGUGCGAGCGUUAAUCGGAAUUACUGGGCGUAAAGCGUGCGCAGGCGGUUUUGUAAGACAGAUGUGAAAUCCCCGGGCUCAACCUGGGACCUGCAUUUGUGACUGCAAGGCUAGAGUACGGUAGAGGGGGAUGGAAUUCCGCGUGUAGCAGUGAAAUGC